rnacentral:rRNA from 1 species
UUAAAUUGAAGAGUUUGAUCAUGGCUCAGAUUGAACGCUGGCGGCAGGCUUAACACAUGCAAGUCGAACGGUAGCAGGAAGGAAGCUUGCUUUCUUUGCUGACGAGUGGCGGACGGGUGAGUAAUGCUUGGGGAUCUGGCUUAUGGAGGGGGAUAACGACGGGAAACUGUCGCUAAUACC